UAACACGUAAACAACCUGCCUUCAGGAUGGGGACAACAGACGGAAACGACUGCUAAUACCGAAUAAGUUCCAAGAGCCGCAUGGCCCAUGGAAGAAAAGGUGGCCUCUACCUGUAAGCUAUCGCCUGAAGAGGGGUUUGCGUCUGAUUAGCUGGUUGGAGGGGUAACGGCCCACCAAGGCGACGAUCAGUAGCCGGUCUGAGAGGAUGAACGGCCACACUGGAACUGAGACACGGUCCAGACUCCUACGGAGGCAGCAUG
rnacentral:rRNA from 1 species